rnacentral:rRNA from 1 species
UACGUAGGGUCCGAGCGUUGUCCGGAAUUACUGGGCGUAAAGAGCUCGUAGGUGGUUUGUCGCGUUGUUCGUGAAAACUCACAGCUCAACUGUGGGCGUGCGGGCGAUACGGGCAGACUAGAGUACUGCAGGGGAGAUUGGAAUUCCUGGUGUAGCGGUGGAAUGCGCAGAUAUCAGGAGGAACACCGAUGGCGAAGGCAGGUCACUGGGCCGCGAACUGACGCUGAGGAGCGAAAGCAUGGGGAGCGAACAGG